rnacentral:rRNA from 1 species
GUGCCAGCAGCCGCGGUAAGACGGAGGGUGCAAGCGUUGUUCGGAUUGACUGGGCGUAAAGGGCGUGUAGGCGGUUGCCCAAGUCCGAUGUGAAAGCCCGGGGCUUAGCCUCGGAAGUGCAUCGGAAACUAGGCAGCUGGAGCGCGAUAGAGGAGGGUAGAAUUCCUGGUGUAGCGGUGAAAUGCGUAGAUAUCAGGAGGAAUACCGGCGGCGAAGGCGGCCCUCUGGAUCGUUGCUGACGCUGAGACGCGAAAGCGUGGGGAGCAAACAGGAUUAGAUACCCUGGUAGUCC